GAAGAGAGAUUAAAUCAAUUCUCUCCUGACCACAGAAGGCUCAAUGUUAACCAUUUUGCUUCUGUUGGAUGGGUUAAGGAUAAGUUUAUCAGAAGGAAUACCUAGGUCACUUGAAUGAAAGUUUUUCAAUUUUUCACUCGCCUAUAGUAAACGGAUACAUUUAUACUGGUAUGAUGCACACAGUGGGUGGGUGUAUUGGUUUGGCCAAAAAGUUUGUUCAGGUUUUUACAUAUGAUGUGACAGAAAAAAUCAAACGUACUCUUUGGCCAACCGUUUAUGUUGGUGUUGUGACUUGGCAAAGGAAUUUUUAAUGGAUGCAAUGGGAGCAGGAGCUUGAUGCAUGAUCUUGAGAUUUCUCUUGUGUCUUUUGAUCUUCUUGGUAACGCUGGUCACUUAAGUGUUUUCCCUUUUGCCCCGACCUGUAAAGGAACAGGCAUGGAGCCAAAUCUAAGCCCACCACUAGAGUGUAUCCGAGCACAGCUGACUCCCACUGUCCUGAAGAACAGCACACCAGCAGAGAUCCAGUUAGAUACACCAGUUUGGUUUUAACCUGAAGAUAAGAGCCAGAGAAUAAAUACUUCUUGUUACAAGCCACUAAGAUAUUGAAAUCUUUUGCUAUACAGCAAAAGCUAAUCAAGAAACUAAGGUUGACCUCAUAUAUCAAUAAAGUUUAACCUACUGAGGAAAUAAUGGUUUAAGUAUAUUGCAGUAACUAGAAUAAGUGUCUUGAGAGAAGUAUAAAAUAUUCAAGGGAACAGGGGGCACAGAGCAGAUAAGAGGCUUCAGGUUAACAAAGACUUUCUGAAAGUGACAGUGAUAUCCUUAAAGGAAAGUUAGGUUGUGAGCAGAUUGUGGAGAGGCAGGGGAAGGAUGGAGAAGGGAUCCUUAAUGUCAGCAUAUGUAGUUUUAUUUAUUUAUUUUUUUCAUUGUAACCCAAGUGCCUGAUAUUAAGCUUUGAUUGCUGUGGCCUCCUUAUCAAAGACUGCUGUUUCCAAUUUACCCAUUGCCAGAUAGAAGGAGCCCGGCUGUCCCGCCCAGGAAGUUCCUUUCUUUUCUCUUUUAAGAACUCUCUGGUUGACUUAGUAUCUGACCCUUUGUUUGCUAGUCUUUCCCUUCUCACUUUUACUUCCCAAGAAAGAAUGAAGCUAUGACAUCCUAGAAAUCCUACCCUGAACCCUGAUAACGGCAGAGCCCCAUGCUUGAGGACUCCUUUUCUCUACCUGCGGCCUUGCUGUGUGGUUCCAGGCAUGCCCUGUACCCUUCAGGACUGGUUGAAGACUACUUCUAGAGAGAUACAAUUGGAGUCCUUGGCCCCACGUAUAACUCAGAUCCCAUGGGUUUCCUGUCAUGUCUGGAUAGCAUUUAAUCCAGAAUUCCCUGGACAGAGGAGUUUGGUGGGCUACAGUUUCUGAGGUCCCGAAGAGUUGAACAGGAGUGAGCAACAAACAAAACUUCAAGCAGAUAGCUUCCUUUUAGCUUUAACAAAUGGAACUUGACUAAGGCUUCAAAAGCUCUCGUCUUCUAAGAUAUGUUAGACCAGUGUCAAAAUAUGUCUUACAAAGUUUCAGGCUUCUUCGUUCCUUUAAGUUAAGCCAUGGCAUGCAGCUUUCCAU